rnacentral:rRNA from 1 species
UUCCGGUUGAUCCCGCCGGACCUUACUGCUAUCGGGGUGGGACUAAGACAUGCGAGUCGAGCGUCUCUAGCUAUGUUGAGACGCGGCAGACGGCUCAGUAACACGUGGCUAACCUACCCUCAGGACGAGGAUAAACCCGGGAAACUGGGGCUAAUACUCGAUAGGUGAGGAUGUCUGGAAUGAUUUCUCACUCAAAGGGCCUUGGAAACAUGCUUCCAUUGUCGCCUGGGGAUGGGGCCGCGUCCGAUCAGGUUGUUGGUGAGGUAAUGGCUCACCAAGCCUAUAACCGGUACGGGCCAUGAGAGCGGUAGCCCGGAGAUGGGUACUGAGACAAGGACCCAGGCCCUACGGGGCGCAGCAGUCGCGAAAACUCCGCAAUGCACGAAAGUGUGACGGGGCUACCCCGAGUGCCAUCCGCUGAGGAUGGCUUUCCCUUGGUAUAACUAGCCGAGGGAUUAAGGAGAGGGCAAGACUGGGGUCAGCCGCCG